UACGUAGGGUGCGAGCGUUGUCCGGAAUUACUGGGCGUAAAGGGCGCGUAGGUGGCCUUCUUAGUCAGACGUGAAAUCCCUCAGCUUAACUGGGGAACUGCGUCUGAGACUGGCAAGCUUGAGUGCAGGAGAGGAAUGCGGAAUUCCAGGUGUAGCGGUGAAAUGCGUAGAUAUCUGGAGGAACACCGGUGGCGAAGGCGGCGUUCUGGACUGCAACUGACACUGAGGAACGAAAGCCAGGGGAGCAAACGGG
rnacentral:rRNA from 1 species